rnacentral:rRNA from 1 species
GCGGCGUGCUUAACACAUGCAAGUCGAGCGGAAAGGCCCUUCGGGGUACUCGAGCGGCGAACGGGUGAGUAACACGUGAGUACCCUGCCCCUAGCUCUGGGAUAAGCCCGGGAAACUGGGUCUAAUACCGGAUAUGACGCGCUACUGCAUGGUGGCGUGUGGAAAGUUUUUCGGCUGGGGAUGGACUCGCGGCCUAUCAGCUUGUUGGUGGGGUGAUGGCCUACCAAGGCGACGACGGGUAGCCGGCCUGAGAGGGCGACCGGCCACACUGGGACUGAGACACGGCCCAGACUCCUACGGGAGGCAGCAGUGGGGAAUAUUGCGCAAUGGGCGGAAGCCUGACGCAGCGACGCCGCGUGGGGGAUGAAGGCCUUCGGGUUGUAAACCUCUUUCACCACCGACGAAGCUAA